UCUUGGUUAAUAAAUUAAAGGAAGGUUCACAGUUUCAACUAUGUAUCAAGAAUUCAUGCAAAACAGUUAGCAGAAAGAAGGUUUUUUAUGAAAUUGAGGCAUGGGGUAGCUAGUGGAAUUGUUGAGGAAGAGAAUUAGGUGAAGGAUAGCAAUCAAAGCAAGAAUUAGUGAUGAAUUAGAUAGAUUAAAUGGAUAACAGAAGGUGUGGGGACCAGGGUUUUGACAAUAUUGUAUUGAGGAAGUGAAAAGCAGGAUUUUUUUUUUUAUUUUUUUUUAUGGAAUUAAAGAAAGAAAAUGAGCAUAAUAAUUGAAUUUAUAAUAAUUUGGGGAAAACGUAAUGUGUGAUGUUAUAAAAAUAUGAGACAACUCAACUGCUUUUGGCAUCUUGCAUUCGGAAUUUCCCUUCCAAUCUUUAUAUUAUUUGUUUCCUCAUCCUCAUUUCGGUAUCCUAUGAUCAAUUCCCCCAGUCACUCAGUACCCCACGUUCACAGACAUUCAAAC
rnacentral:lncRNA from 1 species